AAUUAAUAUAAUUGUUUAAGUAGAUUAUAUUUAUAAAUUUUUAAGUUAAAUAAAUUUUAAUCAUUGUAUAUUAUCCAAAUUAGAUAAAUUUUACUAUAGUAAAUUAGUAUUGUAUAAGAAUUUAUAAUAAUUUUAUGAUUUAAUAAAGAUAAAUUUAUUUUUUGUAUCUUGUGUAUCAGAGUAUAUUGAAAUUAAUAAUAUAUUUUAUGUUCUCGAAUUUAAAAGAUUUAAUUAAGUAAUUUAGUUAUUGUAUUAUAAUUAUUUAAAAUUCUUAAUUGGUAAUGAAAUGUUAGUCGUUUUUAAGGAUAUCUAGUUUUUUAAUAAAUGAAUUAAAUUCAUGAAAUGUAAUUUAUUUGUUAUAUUUAAUAUAUAUAUAUAUUAUGUUUUAAAUUUUUAAAGGGAUAAGCUUUUAAAAAUAUUUUUAAAAUAGGAUUGAGUUGAAAAAAAAUUUUAUGAAUUUAAAGUUUGUUAUUGAUUGAAGAAUGUUAAAAUUUAAUUUUUUUGAUUAAUUAUUAAUUUAAUUUUUAUUUAAUUUUUUUAUUAAAGUGUUAAAUUUAAUUUAACUUUUUUAUUAAAAAUGAUUUAAUUAGUAAAUAUGACUGUAAUAAUUAUCUUUAUUUUUAAUAUUUUAUUAUAAAGAAUUAAGCAAAAAUAUUACUCGCCUGUUUAUUAAAAACAUGGUUUCUUGUUUAAAUAGGAAAUUUAACCUGCCCACUGAAAGUGUUUUAAAGGGCCGCAGUAUUUUGACUGUGCAAAGGUAGCAUAAUCAUUAGUCUUUUAAUUGAAGGCUGGAAUGAAUGGUUGGACGAAGUAAUUUCUGUUUUAUGAUAAUUAAAUUGAAUUUAGAUUUUAAGUAAAAAGACUUAAAUAAUAUUAAGGGACGAGAAGACCCUAUAGAGUUUAAUAAAUAUAAUUUUAAUUGAGUUAAAAAUUAAUUUUUAAUUAUUAUGAAAUUUAUUUAAUUGGGGUGAUUAAAAAAUAAGUUAAACUUUUUUUUGAAUUGAAUAAUUAUGAUUAAUUAAUUGAUCCAUUAUUUGAUGAAUAAAAGAUUAAAUUACCUUAGGGAUAACAGCAUAAUUUUUUUUAAGAGUUCAUAUCGAAAAGAAAGAUUAUGACCUCGAUGUUGGAUUAAGAUGAAUUUUAGGUGUAGAUGUUUAAAUAAUUAUUAGGUCUGUUCGACCUUUAAAAUCUUACAUGAUCUGAGUUUAAACCGGUGUAAACCAGGUUGGUUUCUAUCUUUAAUAUUAUUAAAUAUUUUAGUACGAGAGGACCAUAUAUUUGAAAUAAUUUUAUUCUAUUGACUAUUUUAAAUGUAUAACA
rnacentral:rRNA from 1 species